rnacentral:rRNA from 1 species
GACGAACGCUGGCGGCGUGCUUAACACAUGCAAGUCGAACGGACAGGCCCUGCUUUUGUGGGGUGCUCGAGUGGCGAACGGGUGUGUAACACGUGAGUAACCUGCCCUUGACUUUGGGAUAACUUCAGGAAACUGGGGCUAAUACCGGAUAGGAGCUCCUGCUGCAUGGUGGGGGUUGGAAAGUUUCGGCGGUUUGGGAUGGACUCGCGGCUUAUCAGCUUGUUGGUGAGGUAGUGGCUUACCAAGGCUUUGACGGGUAGCCGGCCUGAGAGGGUUACCGGCGACAGGGGGACUGAGAGACGGACCAGACGGCAACGGGAGGCAGCAGGGGGGAAUAUUGCACAAUGGGCGGAAGCGAGAUGCAGCAACGCCGCGUGCGGAAUGACGGCCUUCGGGUGGAAAACCGCUGUCGACUGUGACGAAGCGUGAGUGACGGUAAUGGGUAAAGAAGCACCGGCUAACUACGUG